GUGGGGAAUUUUGGACAAUGGGCGCAAGCCUGAUCCAGCAAUGCCGCGUGCAGGAAGAAGGCCUUCGGGUUGUAAACUGCUUUUGUACGGAACGAAACGGUCCUGGCUAAUAUCCGGGGCUAAUGACGGUACCGUAAGAAUAAGCACCGGCUAACUACGUGCCAGCAGCCGCGGUAAUACGUAGGGUGCGAGCGUUAAUCGGAAUUACUGGGCGUAGAGCGUGCGCAGGCGGUGCUGUAAGACAGGCGUGAAAUCCCCGGGCUCAACCUGGGAAUUGCGCUUGUGACUGCAGUGCUGGAGUGCGGCAGAGGGGGAUGGAAUUCCGCGUGUAGCAGUGAAAUGCGUAGAUAUGCGGAGGAACACCGAUGGCGAAGGCAAUCCCCUGGGCCUGCACUGACGCUCAUGCACGAAAGCGUGGGGAGCAAACAGGAUUAGAUACCCGGGUAGUCC
rnacentral:rRNA from 1 species